CCUGUGAGGAGGGCUAGAGUUCAGUUUGAGGCUGGUGCUUGAGAUUGGAGGAGCCCUGGAGACUACUUUCCUUCAGAUUGGUCACUAAAUGCUAUGAAGAAUAUGAAGGAAAUAUCUCUAUAAGGGCAAAGAGCUAAUUGGAAAGAAGACAUAGAGAAUGCAUGAAAAAUAUCAACAUUAAAGAGGAAAUAAAUGAUGUUAAAGAAGAUCAAAUAAGAUGGCAAAAAUAUUUCCCACAAGGUUGAUUCUGAGUCCAAGUAUGACACCCUACAAAUAAGACCUAUGCUCCAAAAGGUUUUCCUAAAGCCACAGAGUGACCACCUCCUGCCUUUAACAACUGGUCAUCCUUCCCAAGAGUGCCGGGGCUACUUCUCAUUAUACACCCAUACCUCUGUGUGGAGCCUGCUGUCAAAACACGUAGUUAGCCAGCAAAUGCUGUUUGGGAUGUUUCAGAGUCUGCCCCACUGCUCCCUGCCCCUUCCACAUUAGAGCUUUUACCACUGUGAGAAAUCGUCUUGGCUCCCUUGGGAUUCAUUUCUUGUUCCCAAGCUACCCAUCAUUCUAACCCCAGGGGGCCUGAGAGUCAAGUUCUCUUCCAGCACUCUCCUCAUAUGGAAUUUUGGACAAAGGGGAAACAUGAUAUCAAGAGAAAACUUUCCAAUUAUAUAUAGGAACAGUAAAGUAAGAGAAUUUUUUUAAACUGCCUAAUAGAGGUAAGGAAUAAGGGCUGGGGGCCAGCUAGGUAGCUCAGUGGAUUGAGCCAGGCCUAGAGACAGGAAAUCCUAGAUUUAGUCUCACUGUGUGACCCUGAGCAAGUUGUUUAACCACACAUUACCCAGCCCUUAUAACUCCAAUGCCUUAGAACCAAUACCUAGUAUUGAUUCUUAGACAGAAGGUGAGGGUUUUUAUUUUUUUUUAAAAGGAAUGAAAGAUGGAGAAGUUGAGAAUUUUGUCCUAAAGGCACCCUUCCAAAAGUGACUUAAAAAUGUUAAUGCUUUAGACUCUGCUUUUAUUAGCUUUGGCAUAUUUGUAUCCUGGCAGGUAGAGAUCUUACUAGUUAAACAGGUUUUCAACAGUUAUUUAAAUCUGUUAUAGAAAUCGAAUGUUUUCAUUAACUUUCUUUUUGGUCUCUCAGCUAGAGAGAACUCAGAAUUUAAAAUCCAAGAAAAUAGCUUCAUUAAGAUUCCAAAGAAAGAUAAAGAGUGACAGAAGGAACACUGGCACUUAGAAGCUGAGACAAAAAUAUGUCUGACUCUGCUAAGUUCUGUUUUUCCCAAGAGUGAUUGCAAGGCAAAUCCAGUUGCAGAAUCCAUAAAAAAAAAAAAGCCACAGUGAGUCAUUUGUCCAGUCUACUUCAGCCUAAAGAGACAGACUGGGAGGUGUUUGAAUGCUGGGUCAGGAUCAUGCUGAUCAGUUCUUCCAGAACCCAGAGAGAAGCUGGGUAGUAGAGCCAGAGAAAGUUCCAAACUCAAAACAGGACUUUACUAGAUUGAUACUGGGCACUUAGAUGUCAGACCAGACAGGCAGCAACCAGACUAAAUUUACUUUGAAUUAGACCUCUUUGGAAGCACUGAAACCUUGCAGAUCCCCAAACUGAGCUAUCCCUAAGAUCCUAAAAUACCCCCAAAAAACCCAGACUAUCCUUCCAGAAGGACCCCAGAACCCAGCCCUAACAUUAAGUCUGAAACCAGA